CAAUACAACUCUUUCCGCCAGAGAACUACAAGUGAAAAACUUGAAACUCAAAGGACUUGACGGUGUCCCAUAUCGGCCUAGAGGAGCCUGUCCUAUAAUCGAUACCCCCCGUUCCACCCAACCCCAACUAGCAAACAUACCAGCCUAUAUACCGCCGUCGACAGUUUACCCUAUGAAGGUCUAAUAGUAGACACAACAGCCUCUAACGCUAAUACGUCAGGUCAAGGUGUAGCAAAUGUUGUGGAAGAGA
rnacentral:rRNA from 1 species